UGGGGAAUAUUGCACAAUGGGCGCAAGCCUGAUGCAGCCAUGCCGCGUGUAUGAAGAAGGCCUUCGGGUUGUAAAGUACUUUCAGCGGGGAGGAAGGGAGUAAAGUUAAUACCUUUGCUCAUUGACGUUACCCGCAGAAGAAGCACCGGCUAACUCCGUGCCAGCAGCCGCGGUAAUACGGAGGGUGCAAGCGUUAAUCGGAAUUACUGGGCGUAAAGCGCACGCAGGCGGUUUGUUAAGUCAGAUGUGAAAUCCCCGGGCUCAACCUGGGAACUGCAGCUGAUACUGGCAAACUUGAGUCUCGUAGAGGGGGGUAGAAUUCCAGGUGUAGCGGUGAAAUGCGUAGAGAUCUGGAGGAAUACCGGUGGCGAAGGCGGCCCCCUGGACGAAGACUGACGCUCAGGUGCGAAAGCGUGGGGAGCAAACAGG
rnacentral:rRNA from 1 species